UUUCCCUACGGGACGCAGCAGUGGGGAAUAUUGCACAAUGGGGGAAACCCUGAUGCAGCGACGCCGCGUGAGUGAAGAAGUAUUUCGGUAUGUAAACCUCUAUCAGCAGGGAAGAAAAUGACGGUACCUGACCAAGAAGCCCCGGCUAACUACGUGCCUGCAGCCGCGGUAAUACGUAGGGGGCAAGCGUUAUCCGGAUUUACUGGGUGUAAAGGGAGCGUAGACGGCUGAGCAAGUCAGAAGUG
rnacentral:rRNA from 1 species